CUAUUACAAAGAGUUGCAAUAUGGUAACAUGGAGCGAAUCUCAAAAAGAUAGUCUCAGUUCAGAUUGUGGGCUGAAACCCGCCCACAUGAAGUCGGAGUUGCUAGUAAUCCCGAAUCAGCAUGUCGGGGUGAAUGCGUUCCCGGGUCUUGUACACACCGCCCGUCACGCCAUGGGAGUUGGGAGUACCCAAAGUCGGCGACCUAACCGCAAGGAAGGAACCGCCUAAGGUAAUACCAAUGACUGGGGUGAAGUCGUAACAAGGUAAC
rnacentral:rRNA from 1 species